UAAGCAACGUCGCUUAAUUUAGGUCCAGAAAAGACGGAUCUUGUGGGGACGCGUGUCACACUCUCCAGUUUCUUUCUCUCUCUCUCGAAAGUCAUCUCCUCUCCUUCUUCACCGAUCUAUGCACCGAGAUCCUCCGAGCUCACGCUGGGACCUCGAACUCGCCAUCUCCUCCUUCACAUCACCAUCUGACCCUCGCGAAGAUGACCCUUCGUCUUCCCGCGUCGACGGCAGGUGAAGCGAUGUUAUCUCCAUCGGUUCGGAUUCUGGGUCGCCGGUGGAGCUUUGACGUAUUAGCUUGGUGCGAUAGGGUUUGGAUCAGGUCGCGGCGGCGGGUCUGAGUCAUCGUCGUCGGUUUCUUCGGCGGCAGGUGAAGCGAUGUUAUCUCUGCUGCUGGAGCUUUUGUUGUUGUUGAGAUGUUGUAUAGCUCUGAUCUACUUGCACUUGUUUGCCCUUUCUUCAAAUGGAAUGUAUAUUGCUACAGCAUCUGAGCAAGGAACUCUGAUCCGAGUCCAUCUUGUUUCUGAAUCAACUAAGUCAUAUAGUUUCAGGAGGGGGACAUACCCAUCAACAAUAUACUCACACUCUCUUUUGGACCGUCCACACAGCUACCUGAUAUAUUGAUUGCUACGAGUUCUUCAGGCUCCGUUCAUGCCUUCUCUUUAAUGUUGGCCAUAAACCAGAGAAGCAAAAGGUAUACUAUAUCGUGAUGAUAAUGGGAAGCCUCUUGUCUUGGAGUGUGUCAGAGAAGCUGAGCGUAGGAUUGCUGGCACCUCCUUCAUGUCACGAAGUAGGUCAUUGCAGGUAACGAAGUAGAUUCAUUUUGCAGGUCACGGAGUAGAUUCAUUGUAGUCUUGGCUUUGUGUGUCAUGAAAUUCAUGGAGUAGGACAUUGUAGUCUUGUCUUUGUUUUAAGAACUCAAUACUAAGAGCA